rnacentral:rRNA from 1 species
CUAUAGCGUAGUGAAUCAUCGAAUCUUUGAACGCACAUUGCGCCUUAGGCUGCCUCAGCGUCGGGUUAAUAUCGCUCCCCCUUAUCCCUAGUGGAUAAAGAGAGGCGGAUCUGGCUGUUCCAGCUAUGCAGCUUGAACUUUGUUCAAGCAUCUAAGCACCUGGAUCAGCUGAAGACCAGAGGCUAACCAAAGACCCGUCAAGGGCCGCAACUGGGUGGGCUGUCAAAGGCUAUAUUCUUAGUUGUUGGUCUGGGACUUUGUGUUUGGCCCUCAAACAGGAACCUAUAUUAACCAUUAUCUCGACCUGAGCUCAGGCAAGAACACCCGCUGAACUUAAGCAUAUCAAUAAGCGGAGG